GCUCAACGGAUAAAAGGUACUCCGGGGAUAACAGGCUGAUACCGCCCAAGAGUUCAUAUCGACGGCGGUGUUUGGCACCUCGAUGUCGGCUCAUCACAUCCUGGGGCUGAAGUAGGUCCCAAGGGUAUGGCUGUUCGCCAUUUAAAGUGGUACGCGAGCUGGGUUUAGAACGUCGUGAGACAGUUCGGUCCCUAUCUGCCGUGGGCGCUGGAGAACUGAGGGGGGCUGCUCCUAGUACGAGAGGACCGGAGUGGACGCAUCACUGGUGUUCGGGUUGUCAUGCCAAUGGCACUGCCCGGUAGCUAAAUGCGGAAGAGAUAAGUGCUGAAAGCAUCUAAGCACGAAACUUGCCCCGAGAUGAGUUCUCCCUGACUCCUUGAGAGUCCUGAAGGAACGUUGAAGACGACGACGUUGAUAGGCCGGGUGUGUAAGCGCAGCGAUGYGUUGAGCUAACCGGUACUAAUGAACCGUGAGGCUUAACCUUACAACGCCGAAGGUGUUU
rnacentral:rRNA from 1 species